GUGCUUGCUUCAGCAGCACAUACACUGAAAUUGGGAUGAGACAGAGAUUAGCAUGGCCCCUGUGCAAGAUGACAUGCACAUUUGUGAGACAUUUUAUAUUAGA
ensembl:snRNA U6 U6 spliceosomal RNA